AAAUACCAUUAAUUUUCAUGAACCCCUAAUCUAUAAUGAAUGACUCCAUAUUUAUAUGGAAGACACCAUGCUAGGAUUAGUAACAAGAAUUUAUAAUUCUCCAAAAUGCAAAUAUAAACCAACAUGGAUGGACCAUUGGUAGUUACCGAACCUAAAUUCAAUGCAACAACACCUACAAGAAAACUCUGCAGUACUUACUCGUUAACCUAACACCAGCGCAUUACAGGAAAGAUUUAAAAAAAGAGAAGGAAUUCGGCAAAUGACGGCCCCGCCUGUUUACCAAAAACAUCGCCUCUUGACUUAUAAUAAGAGGUCCAGCCUGCCCAGUGAAUUUUAAACGGCCGCGGUAUCCUAACCGCGCGAAGGUAGCAUAAUCACUUGUUCUUUAAAUGGGGACUCGUAUCAACGGCAUCACGAGGGUUUUACUGUCUCCUCUUUUUGAUCAGUGAAAUUGAUCUUCCCGUGAAGAAGCGGGAAUAAAUUUAUAAGACGAGAAGACCCCAUGGAGCUUUAAACCAAAUAACAACUUAACCACUUAUCCCAUAAUAAAUUUAAGCCCUGUUAUAAGGUUUUUGGUUGGGGUGACCGCGGAGUAAAACACAUCCUCCACGACGAAAAAAACAGAAUUUUUAUUUAAGAACCACACUUCUAGAAAUUAGUAUACUAACGUUUACUGACCCGACAAUCGAUCAACGGACCAAGUUACCCUGGGGAUAACAGCGCAAUCUACUUCAAGAGCUCAUAUCGACAAGUAGGCUUACGACCUCGAUGUUGGAUCAGGGUAUCCCGGUGGUGCAGCCGCUACCGAAGGUUCGUUUGUUCAACGAUUAAAAC
rnacentral:rRNA from 1 species